rnacentral:rRNA from 1 species
UACGGAGGGAGCUAGCGUUGUUCGGAAUUACUGGGCGUAAAGCGCACGUAGGCGGCUUUGUAAGUUAGGGGUGAAAGCCCGGGAGCUCAACUCCGGAAUUGCCUUUAAGACUGCAUCGCUUGAAUCCGGGAGAGGUGAGUGGAAUUCCGAGUGUAGAGGUGAAAUUCGUAGAUAUUCGGAAGAACACCAGUGGCGAAGGCGGCUCACUGGACCGGUAUUGACGCUGAGGUGCGAAAGCGUGGGGAGCAAACAGG